CCGCUCCCCGCCGCCGGGCUCACCAGCUGCCAGAGGUCCCCGGCGCCCGGCGGGGCGGCCGCCGCCAUCGGCUCCGGCCCCGAACCGCCGCCCGGCCGCGGCGGGGCGGGCAGACAAAUCGUAAUUCCGCCAGGCAGCAACUAAAUCGGGAUGCUGAAGUUCACUCUUCAGAGGCCGCAGGAUUUCUUAGGGCAGAAGUGAUGAAUUAAAUGAUGACAAAUGCUUGUUGACAGACAAGGCCCGAGUUUUGGGUUUGUAGUUUGUUUUUUUGUUGUGUUUUCUUUUUGUUUGUUUGUGUUUGUUUGUUUGUUUUUUGUUUUGUUUUGUUUUGUUUUUCUUUUAAGGCUUAUUUCCUCUUUCCCAUAUAAUUUUGUAAUACAGAGUGGUAAAGCCACGGUGCUUGUUGAAGUCCCUUGUACCAGGACAUCUAAAGAGAGGAGUGAAGGCAUCAGCAAGGAUUGAGCAGCGCCUUUUGCAGUCAUGUAGCUCACCCCUGCGGUUUUCAGCUGUCCUGGUUUCGGCUGGGAUAGAGCUGAUUUUCUGCCUUAGCUAGAAAAGUGCUGUGUUUGCAUUCAGUGUGGGAUUUGGUAGGAGAGGAAUGUUGAUAAUACACUGAUGUUUUUAGCUGUUGCUAAGAAAUCCAGGACUUUUCAACUCCCCCUGUCCUGCCUGUGCACAGGUGCUAUAAGGGAGCACAGCACCAGACCCAAACAGGCCAAGGGAAUAUUCCGUAUCAUCAGAUGUCCUGCUCAGAGUAUAGAUGAAGACUGGCCAGGAAGCCGGGGCUCGCUUUCUAUUCCGGGAUUUCGGUUUCAGGAUCUUCCCUCCAGUGGGGACACAAGGGAAGGUUGGUGAGGAGGACUGUAAACGCGCUCAGGUCACUUGCAGCUGGGGUGUCAAAAAAUCUGUGUCGUACUAAUUGCUGUUUAGCUUUGUGUGCUUGACAGGUAGAAUGUCUGCGUUUAGGUAACACCGGUCUGUGAGAGACUCGGGGACACUUUAUCAAACAUCCUUGAGAUUCUGGCCCUGCUGUGGGAAAGAUCAGAGCGCAGUAGAGAACUACCCCUGUGAAAAUCCCUGAUAAAAACAGGUGAAAGCAGCCAGUUUGAGACCUUUUCUUUCUUCUCCUCUUCCUGGCUUAGCAAGGACCGAGCUCCGCGGUGCCAACAUCCCCGCUUGCGUGCCUCUGCCCGGGUGCUGCUGUGGAAAUCCCCUGGGUCGUGAGGUAACACCAAUAAAUUUCCUCUUUGCAUUUCA